AAGGGGUUGCUGGAAUACCCUGAAGCAACCUGAAAAUAUGCAAAAUUCUUUCACUUUCACAGUAAGAGUUACAUUUUUAAUACAGUUUCAGUAACAAUUCCUCCUAUAAUAAUUUUCCUGCAGAAAAUUAUGAAUGUUUAUUCUUCUAAUUAAAAAAUAUAUCUAAUGCACGUUUUCAUGAUAGAAAGUAUACCAGAGUAAUCUUUGCCUUCAGGUCAUAACACUUGAGCCAGAAGUGGAGAGUUGACUGAACUGAAAUUCUCCUAAUAAGCCACAGAAAAGUGACUAAUACAAUGAUAAUCUCUGCAGCUGUUGCUGGAACCAUCAGCACUAUCUGAGACUGAAUAUUAUUACUAUUCAUCAUCAAUAUCCUCUGCCUCAGGAUGUCAUUUCUAAGGUGCCAGAUGGACACAGGACUCUCUUGAGGAUUCAUCUCAAGAUCUCCAUCUAUUCAAGGAGUUAUCUGCCUCCUGAGAUCUAUCUAAGCUGCUAAAAAAAAUGUUGAAGAGGUUUUAUCAUUUUGAAUAUCAUGUAACAAAGAUAUUACAAUAGCAUGGUCUCGAAAGCAUUCUUUGCUGCAUAAUCGUGAGAAAUGAACCAAAGCAAGAGCUUGCCAUCUCCACACUGAUGUUGCAUCCAAACCCCUGGCUGCCAAAUCAAGCUUGCUGCUAUCGUACUGAAUUUUCUUUCUUGUGAGUGUGAUCAGCUUGAGGAGUCUUUUGGGAAAGCCCUGAAGAGAGAAUCAGGGAAGAAGGUACUGCAGGGCAGGCGCAGAGAGAUUGAGAAGUGGCCGAGUCACCCUGUUUGAAAACCAAUCCAUAUCUAAUAAGUGAAUCCUUGUCACAGCCCUGGAAGAGAAUUCUCAACAUUUCAAUAGCUCUGGCUGGAGGAGUCCAUAAUAUUCUGAAUAUCUCCAGGCAUCCACAGAGCCAAGGCCACUUCUGCCUUUUCUAGUGCUGCACUGCUGAGGAGAAUGGGGGUGCCGGGGAGGUUGAAAGGACACACCCUGGACACGUGACCCCAGUUGACCAGAGGGGUACUCCAGACCUCAUGACAUCAUGGUCAGCGUCACACGUGGUGGGGCCGUGCUCUCCUGGAGAUGGCUGAACACCUGCUUGCCCAUGGAAGAUAUGUCUCCAGCACUGACUACUUGGACUCCAUAUUACUUUGCACUUCUAAGCUACUGUGAUUCCAAUUCUACAGGAACAAGACUGAGACGCCUGCACAAAAAUAACGUGUGAGAUCUGCUAUGUAUCUCCAUCUAUGUAGAGGUAGAAAGUGAUACAGGUCCAGCAGAAGAAGACUGUGAGUGCUGGUGAUCACUCAUUCGUAUGGAAGUGCUGUUGGCAGCUCUGCAGAAGAGGCAGCCUAGGUAAGGGUACCUGUAACUAAUCCAUCAGUCAGCUGGCAAAGCAGAACACAGGGUUGUUUGUCAAGAUUUUUUUCAAGGGCUUAAGGCUUGUUGUUCUAGACAGGAAAAAAGACAGAAAAAGAAUAAGAUGUGGAAGAAAAAUUCUACCUAAGUAAAACUUGGAGGAUUUUGGUCGGUUCAUUAACGAAACACCACAAGAAGGCAAUAAAACCACGUUGGGCAGCAGAGGACUGUAGGAAGUUGAAACAGGGAAAGGCAUGUAGGCAUGUAGCCUUUCUGUCUCAUCUACUGUGAGUUCUUUUCCAAGUUCAUGGUUCAAAUUCAAUAGGAUAAGGUCUUUUGUUUGACAUGGCAGUCUGGAUUGAAUUUGCAGACUGGUCAUUACAUAUGACAGCACUGGCAUUAGUUGCCAGCUGUUGUCAAGGCUUCAGUUAUGCAGCACAUGCAUCCCCACUGCCCCUGAGAGCAUUUGUCCCACUUGCCUUCUCAACCCCUCACUAGAGCCCACACUAGCAGCACUCAUACUUUCUCCACCAGAAAAAAGAAUACAGUGGGUUUUUCAGGGCACUUGAAGUAGUGCAAAACACUGGAGAAAUCAAUAAUCCAGAAACAUGCCUUUAUAACAUGAAGGGUGAGCUCUGUGGUCACACACCAAGAACCAAGUGUGCCAUGUACAGCAUGCUGAAGGCCUAACCAAGUUCCUUUCCAUCCCAAACUGGUGGCAACAGUGCAAAUAGGAGGCAUAAUACAUCUUCUGGAGAAUCUACCACAUCUCUGUCUCAUUUUCCCCCAAAAGAGUGAGGCUCUUCAUAGAUGCAGCAGUGCAGUGCCAGUAGUAUGUGUGGCACCAAAGCAAUCAAGCUGCAACAACAGAUAGGAAAGAAUCUCCUCUUUGCUCCCCCUCUGGCAUAUCUACACCUAUAUAAUUAAAUGUCAGAAUUGGUUCUUAUGGAAAAAUGAGAACCUGGAAGUUUUGGAUUUCUCCCAUAAUCCAUAUGACUGGAAUACCUUCAUCAUCUCUGUGUUGGGCCUUCUGUUACUUCAGAACCAAUCUAUUUUUAUUUAUGCCUUUUUUGAAAAUAUGAAAAAGUGGGGAAAAUAAUCAGUGAAAAACUCAGCUUCCUGAAAACCUCUCAGCUGCCUGAAAAAAGAUUUAGCUGAGCAAACUUCAGCUUCUUUCUGGAUUCUUUCUGCACUGUAUAGGUGCAGAUUAAAUACAAGCUGUUUCAAAACCUGACACUAUGUACCAGGUAUAAUGAGUUGCAUACUAUGCUCUGUUUUCCUUACCUAUUAAGUAUAAACCACAGCUCAAUGCAGUUAAUAUAGACUGAAAUUCGAAUUCUUCACAGAAUUCUUAGUAAAUUUAAUUUAAAAAAACAGUCUACUUUCACUAAGAUACUUCUUAGAGCUCCAAAGAAAAUCCAAAGUAUAUCUGGACUGAUAAUGGAAGACAAUAAUUUGCUCCUGGAGUAUCAGUUCAAGUCCAGCCCAGACUGGUGGUAACCUGAAAUUUUUAUCUUCUUGAAGUUACCUGAUCACAUUAUUCCCUAUAGACAAGUGUGUCCAUCAGAAAUAUGCAACAGCUGGCACAGAUCGGCUUCUUGCUGGCAUUUGCAAGAGUGAGGAUGGGGUAGGAGUGUGGUUGGGAUCUAAAUUAUUCCUCCCUCGAGGUGGUCUGGCCAACAGGGAUAGAGGCACUUAAUUUGAAAGGGAAACUUGAACUUUGUAGUUAAUGGAUGAAUAAAUGGAAGACUUCAGUCUACAGGACUGUCAGAUUGUUAGUUUUCACAAACACUUAAAUCAAAUACCACAUCUGAGGGGAAGAAAUUAAGAUGUAAAUAUCCAGGAGCCAGUGCCAAGACCAGUGAGAUCAGAAAACAGAUUUGCACUAUUUUGCUUCUGUGCCUCAAAAUAUCAAGAUCUUAUUGCCUGUAAAGAUGGUUUGUCAUGUUUUUAAAAAGGUUCAAAGGACAUAAAAUGUUUAUCCUCUGAUCUGCCCACAAAAUAAAUUUUUACAAAAGACACAUAAAAAUGGCUUCUCUAAAAAUUCAGAUAUUUAUUUAGAGAGGGGUUAAUUGGACACUACUGUUGCCAUCAACAGCAGUUUCUCUCUGCUGUUCAUGAGCACUUUCCUGAAAAUUACAAGCAGCCCACUCCUGUGUCUGGUGUGUAUACUUACUGAUGAAUCAUGCCAGUCAAAUAUAGAGUGCUCUGAGUGACCACUGCAUGAGUCUGAAAAAAAAUAUUGGACAUUUCAUAAGUUUACCCUGAACUAUUUUAAAAUUCAAUAGCCAAGACAUAUUUGUACCAAUAUAACGUAAACAUUCAUUGGACUCCUGAGCUGGUAAGGAAAUGAGUCUGUUGCUUUCUGGGCUGGCUGUGCAGGGCAGAGCUGUCAGCUCCAGCAGGGUCACCUGCUAGCACAGGCUUCACUGACAUCCAGGGCACUUCAUGGCCCAGGAAGGUGAGCUGCAUUAGUCUACACCGUGGACAUGUAGUCUAUAUUCCUAACUGAAUAUGGAAAGCACCAGCUGUAAGGAAACAUAAAUUGUACAGUUGGUUUGGUUUUGCAUAUCAAAUAUGUGCAGCAUAUUAUUCACAGAUUCCGUUAAUUAAUCCUGAUGAAAUCAUAAUGAGAAAAACAUUAACACUAAUCGAUUUGGAUGAGAUGAAAUUUCAGACCUUCCUGACAUGCUUAUUUGUGGCACAUACCAUAAUAAAAACCAACCAGCCAGCUUUCCACUUGCAAUGUAAGCAUUAGCUUCCCCAAUAGUAAAACAGAAGGUCAGCUUAAAAGUCUCAUUUUCUACAAUCAACAGCAAUGCUUUAAAUGACAUAGAAGAGCAUGCAAGUAUUAGAGCUAUUGUUUCCAUAAAGCUAUUCUGCUGGCGACUAUUCAUAGCCACCCUUUGCCACAUGAUUCCUUUCCUAAGCAGCUUUCCAAUUUAAGUUUCCAUAGGCUACGGUUUGACAGAGUAGCUAGAAGAAUUUGUGCAUGUAUAUUAUGAAGUUUCAUUAUCCUUUUUGCUUUUAUGAAUAGCAUUCCUUAGAGGAUAUGUUCUGUGGGUGCUCUGUGCCAAGGCAGCAUUAUUUUCCCUUCUUGACUAAUGAGGGUUCACCACAGAGAAAUAAAUCACGUUGCGCACUUUGUGCAAAGUUUUUUUGAAAGGCUCGACAGAAGGCAACUUUUGAAAGCAAGCAGUUGGACCUUCAUGAAAGUCCCCCUGGCAAGCAGUAUGAGCCAGCAUAUUUCCUAGGCUGGUCACUGAUUGCCAUGAAAGGCCUUUGGGAGCUCACCAAAAUUCCCUACUUGAAAGGCUUGUGAGUAGUUGCCCAUGACAAACACCAGGAUUGUACAAACAGAAAUCAUAAUCCAAGGCAAAGUCAGGCCCAUAAGACAUUAUCUCUCAGCCAAGUUGGAAGAUAUUGUGUGAUUUCUCACCCAGAGUCUAAUAAUACUCAUUCAAUCAGUCCUUUCCUUCAGUGUUGGGUACUGCUGAAGUUACCCUUUUAUCUUCUCUCUCUCAAGCAAGACCACCUAUUUCUAUUUAAAAUGCAAGUGAGAAAAUCAAAAUGUACCUCCAGGUUUUCAUAUCUAUAUUUUGAUUCUGUAAUACCUCCAACAGAGGAGGUAAAGUGGUGAAUGCAUCAGACUUUUCAGCAGAAAAUGUCAAAGAUGCGGUUUCAUUCUGCAGAGGUAACACAUUGCUUAUUGCAGGGGGUUCUGCAGUCUUCUGGAAAGAAAAAUAGCAGCAAGGUAACCUUGGAAUAAAGUAUCCAUCUUUGACUACCCUGGAAGAGAGUCCUCUUUGGUGAUUUGAAAAGGCUGUGAAAAAGUGUCCACUUCACACUUUCCUCAAAUAUGCACAAAUGGGGGGCUUUUGUCACAGUUUGUCUUUUGUUUUCUUGUAUAUUUGUACUGGUGGCUUGUGAAGGCCUAGAAAUGAGUGUGUAUCAUGUCCAAAGUUUAUAUCCAUCUGUCACCAGCACUAGAGGCUGCUGCAUUUUAAAUCACUUCAGCAUACUGCUUGCACAGUGACUCAGCCCUGACAGGGGUGUCCACCCUGAGGAUGAGAAAAUGAUUCAGUAUUCAUUAGUCUAACUUAAUGCAGUCUCUCCUCAGCAGGAGAACAUCCAAUCAUGUGCCUUAUCUGUGCCUGCUUCUGUGAUUUAUCCACUGAGGAGUGACCUACAAUCAAGAACUUUACUUAAAACCUUUUCACAGGCAGCUAUCUGCCAGUCUGGAGAUAAAGCUAAGCUAAACACCCAUGCUAAUUUCAGACUUUGCUUUUCUUACAAUCUGAGAGCUUUCCAUAAAGUUUUUGAAUAAAAUAAGUCACACAUACUGCCCAUACAUUUUCAAAAAUCAGAGGCAUUCUGUUUCCUAAACUGCUCUUGUGGGGUUUUUUGGUUUUUGUUUUUUUUUUUUUUUUUUUAAUAUUGGAAAAAUGACACUAAUCUUAAUGUAUCAUUCCAGAGAUGUGUGCUCCAAACUGUGCAGGAUUUCAGGAUGGUGUUGCAAUGUAAAAUGAAACCACAAAACACCCCAAGCCUUAUGAACUUUUUCAUUUGUGAAGGUGGAAAAACAGUCUGCUUGACUAAAGAGCUGAGAAAGAGAGAGUGGGUCUAAUUCCAGUACAUUCUUCUCAAAUAAACCUGAAGUUGAAACAUAUUGAAACUCCCUGCAUCAUGAAGCAACCUAAAAUGCUUUCCAAGGGUGUCUGAUUUGAUAACAAGAUGCAAAGAAGGGGAAUAGAAUGACAGACCUGUCAGUCUACCUGUAAAAAGAAGUCUUCUUUCUCUUCCCUGUGCUGACUUUUCCUUGUCAAACUUGUGUUUGCAGGUAGAGGGGUAGAAAAGCAAUAAGCUGGUUUUUUGUUUUUCUUUGCUUUGCUUUCUAUACACUCCCAAAUGAUAUUUUUUCCUAGCCUAGGUUUUUUCCUAGCCUAGGUUAAGCUGCAGUUGUGGAAAUAAUAUUUCCAACAAACAUUCUGAAUCUCAGUAGAUUUUGCCCUGUAGCUUUACAGAGCCUUUAAUUCAGUCAAUAUGUGACAGUUUCAGUUUAGAGAAGGCAGAACAGAAUGCCUUGACCCACAGCAAAGGGGAAACAAGAAGGAUCAGCUCUGAAGAAGACCCAUUUUUUGAGGAUUCUUUGGCCUUAUGUAAAUUAAAAUUCAGAGAGAGGAAAAAUUAUUACAUUUUUUCUUGCCUCAGGGUGAAAUUAUUGGACUCCCAAGGAAGCUAGAUAGAUUUAGAAGAUUCAGGUGCUUUCAAACACCUAGUCAAUUUAUAGAUAGCAGUUUUUCAUAUAAUCCCAUGAUUGAAGAAUAAAUGAAUCUGACAGCCAGCACCUCAGUAAGGUAAGAAAUCAGACUAAUUUUUUUUCCAAUGUCAAGUCAGUGUCAUUUUGGGAAAUAACCCUAUUUGGGAUCAGUUUUCUAAGUUACUUAUUGCUUCAAGAGAAAAAAGGUAGAGAAAGCAACCCGUAAUUAAUAUAAGCAUAAACUUGUUUUGAUUUGUUUCAAUAUCUCUCCCUUCUGUCAAUUCCAAGCACUAUCAGAUGGAGUUAUCAUUAGCUAUGAGAUUAAUUCUCAUAAUUUUUUUUUUCUGCACAUCAUGUAAAGUUAUGAGAUGUUUUUCAAUAAUCUUUUCUUAAAUGUAGAGAAGUUUCUCCUGAUUUGAAGAGUAAUAGAGGGGUUUUGUUGUUGUUUUUUUGGCUUUGAGAUUUUUUUGGUCCAUUACAGAAUGAAGUAAACCCCACAGCACUGAAGGUUAAUGAUGAAAUUGUAUGUGCACUCUACCAUUUCUCUGUCUUCUUUUUUUAUUCUACUCAAUUUCUACUGAGUGUCAUAUAUUUGAAGUAAUUUAGGCUGUUUCCUUGUAACUAACAGAACUUAUGUUUAAAGUAGCUAUUUUAAUUUGUGUGUAUGUGUAUGUGUGUGUGUGUGUGCGCAUGUGCAUGUGUGUAAAGUAAUUGUCUGUAUUGUAUCAGAUAGCGAACUGGAAAUUCCCAAUGUCCCAAAGAUGUCUUGAAGCCCUGCUUUUAAAAAAACAGCUUUAAAAAUCUUGCUUAGCAAGAGUUUACUUCUCUGUAAAAACAACAGAUGAUUUGUAUGCACCUGAACAUUACCAUUUUUAAGACUGCCAGACAAAGCCAGUAAUAAUGAUUUGUAUGUCUGGUAUGUAUUGGUAUUUUUGAACCUUCUGCUUCUCAGAUAAGCAGAUGGGAAAUGGAUGAUUGCUGUGAAGCUCUAUGGAAGCAUAUGAAGCAUAAAGAAACAUAAAUAAAGUGGUGUAAACCAAUGUGUUUAGCUAGCCUCCAGUUUUAACUCCUGCAAGCACUACAGCAAAGAGAUUGGUAACAUAUACUGAUUAAGGCUCAAAGGCAAUAGUCAAUCUGUAAACUACGAUGGACUAUGUAGAACUGUGAUUUUUAUUUUACAUUGAAAACAUGUAAUUGUCAGCAAUUAAAGCCCUAGUAAUAUUUGAGUCAAAAUCCCAAAGCUGAAAAACACUAAAGGGAUCUUUUUGCAUUGCUAUGUGGUUGUCCUUGUUUGUAUGUAAGUGCAAACAGUGCCUUUUUAUUUUUAAGGUUGGUCAAGAACUGAGACAAAUGGGGUGCUUCUUAUGCUUAUUUCACCUCAGUAUGACAGAAAGCUAUGGAUAUUUGAUUUUGUAACCCAUGAAGUAGCAGAAAAUCAUGUGGGAAAUCAUUUAUGCAGUACCUUUCACAAAUGCUUUCUAUCACUUAUGUCAUGUGAAAGUUGCUCACAAAAUACUGCAGAAAAAUGUUGAAACUACUGGUACUGCAAGGCCAGUCUGGAUCAAGAAAGAACAAUGACAUUUUUUCUGCUUUUCUUUCAUAGUUUUGGAGAUUUUUUCCUCCUUUACCUGGGAUUUAGUGUUUUGAAUCAAAUCAGACUGCGCUACUUCUAUCAAUAUCAUAUCUACACCAAGAAGGUUCAGACUUUCCAUUUGCUGACAACCCAUCUGCAGAACAGAAGACAUGUUAUCACACUCAUAUAAUUUGAAUUAAUAAUGCAUCUAAAAUAUGUAGGGAUAAAUAAGGCAAGAAUAAUCACAGUCUCCAACACUGUCUCCUGGCAUGUAUGUUCUUCCACAGCUGUCUUUCCACCUUUGACACCCUUUUCAAGAUUUAUGUUCUGCUCUUUUGCUGUUAUGACUGGCUGUAAAUAAACUAGAUCACUGUAUUCCUGUCAGAAAAUAACACCUGUCUUGAUGACUUAUAACUCUCAAUUUUUGUUU